GACGACGCUGGCGGCGUGCCUAAUACAUGCAAGUCGAGCGGAAUGAUGAAGAAGCUUGCUUCUUCUGAUUUUAGCGGCGGACGGGUGAGUAACACGUGGGCAACCUACCUUGUAGAUUGGGAUAACUCCGGGAAACCGGGGCUAAUACCGAAUAAUCCAUUUUGCUUCAUGGCGAGAUGUUGAAAGACGGUUUCGGCUGUCACUACAAGAUGGGCCCGCGGCGCAUUAGCUAGUUGGUAGGGUAAUGGCCUACCAAGGCGACGAUGCGUAGCCGACCUGAGAGGGUGAUCGGCCACACUGGGACUGAGACACGGCCCAGACUCCUACGGGAGGCAGCAGUAGGGAAUCUUCCACAAUGGACGAAAGUCUGAUGGAGCAACGCCGCGUGAGUGAAGAAGGUUUUCGGAUCGUAAAACUCUGUUGUAAGGGAAGAACACGUACGAGAGUAACUGCUCGUACCUUGACGGUACCUUAUUAGAAAGCCACGGCUAACUACGUG
rnacentral:rRNA from 1 species